CCUGCCUCUAGAAGCAUUGAAGGUAUGACUGCUGUGUCACAUGUUGCAUCAGUAGGUGACAGAGAAGAGAAAGGCUGUCAACCAGUUAGUGUUCUGACCUAUGAACACCUGAAUAAUUAGUAGCCUAACAUU